UAACGAGGCGAACCGGGGGAACUGAAACAUCUAAGUACCCCGAGGAAAAGAAAUCAACCGAGAUUCCCCCAGUAGCGGCGAGCGAACGGGGAGGAGCCCAGAGUCUGAAUCAGUUUGUGUGUUAGUGGAAGCGUCUGGAAAGUCGCACGGUACAGGGUGAUAGUCCCGUACACCAAAAUGCACAGGCUGUGAACUCGAUGAGUAGGGCGGGACACGUGACAUCCUGUCUGAAUAUGGGGGGACCAUCCUCCAAGGCUAAAUACUCCUGACUGACCGAUAGUGAACCAGUACCGUGAGGGAAAGGCGAAAARAACCCCGGCGAGGGGAGUGAAAUAGAACCUGAAACCGUGUACGUACAAGCAGUGGGAGCACCUUCGUGGUGUGACUGCGUACCUUUUGUAUAAUGGGUCAGCGACUUAUAUUUUGUAGCAAGGUUAACCGAAUAGGGGAGCCGUAGGGAAACCGAGUCUUAACUGGGCGUCUAGUUGCAAGGUAUAGACCCGAAACCCGGUGAUCUAGCCAUGGGCAGGUUGAAGGUUGGGUAACACUAACUGGAGGACCGAACCGACUAAUGUUGAAAAAUUAGCGGAUGACUUGUGGCUGGGGGUGAAAGGCCAAUCAAACCGGGAGAUAGCUGGUUCUCCCCGAAAGCUAUUUAGGUAGCGCCUCGUGAACUCAUCUUCGGGGGUAGAGCACUGUUUCGGCUAGGGGGCCAUCCCGGCUUACCAAACCGAUGCAAACUCCGAAUACCGAAGAAUGUUAUCACGGGAGACACACGGCGGGUGCUAACGUCCGUCGUGAAGAGGGAAACAACCCAGACCGCCAGCUAAGGUCCCAAAGUCAUGGUUAAGUGGGAAACGAUGUGGGAAGGCACAGACAGCCAGGAUGUUGGCUUAGAAGCAGCCAUCAUUUAAAGAAAGCGUAAUAGCUCACUGGUCGAGUCGGCCUGCGCGGAAGAUGUAACGGGGCUAAACCAUGCACCGAAGCUGCGGCAGCGACACUUAGGUGUUGUUGGGUAGGGGAGCGUUCUGUAAGCCGUUGAAGGUGACCUGUGAGGGUUGCUGGAGGUAUCAGAAGUGCGAAUGCUGACAUAAGUAACGAUAAUGCGGGUGAAAAACCCGCACGCCGGAAGACCAAGGGUUCCUGUCCAACGUUAAUCGGGGCAGGGUGAGUCGACCCCUAAGGCGAGGCUGAAAAGCGUAGUCGAUGGGAAACAGGUUAAUAUUCCUGUACUUGGUGUUACUGCGAAGGGGGGACGGAGAAGGCUAGGCUGGCCGGGCGACGGUUGUCCCGGUUUAAGCGUGUAGGGGGAGUGACCAGGUAAAUCCGGUUGCUUAUCAACCCUGAGGCGUGAUGACGAUGCACUACGGUGCAGAAGCAGUUGAUGCCAUGCUUCCAGGAAAAGCCUCUAAGCAUCAGGUAACAUUAAAUCGUACCCCAAACCGACACAGGUGGUCAGGUAGAGAAUACUCAGGCGCUUGAGAGAACUCGGGUGAAGGAACUAGGCAAAAUGGUGCCGUAACUUCGGGAGAAGGCACGCUGGCGUUAGGUGAAAGGACUAGCUCCUGGAGCUGAAGCCAGUCGCAGAUACCAGCUGGCUGCAACUGUUUAAUAAAAACACAGCACUGUGCAAACACGAAAGUGGACGUAUACGGUGUGACGCCUGCCCGGUGCUGGAAGGUUAAUUGAUGGGGUCAGCCGCAAGGCGAAGCUCUUGAUCGAAGCCCCAGUAAACGGCGGCCGUAACUAUAACGGUCCUAAGGUAGCGAAAUUCCUUGUCGGGUAAGUUCCGACCUGCACGAAUGGCGUAAUGAUGGCCAGGCUGUCUCCACCCGAGACUCAGUGAAAUUGAACUCGCUGUGAAGAUGCAGUGUACCCGCGGCAAGACGGAAAGACCCCGUGAACCUUUACUAUAGCUUGACACUGAACAUUGAGCCUUGAUGUGUAGGAUAGGUGGGAGGCCUUGAAGUGUGGACGCCAGUCUGCAUGGAGCCAACCUUGAAAUACCACCCUUUAAUGUUUGAUGUUCUAACUCGGCCCCAUGAUCUGGGGUGAGGACAGUGUCUGGUGGGUAGUUUGACUGGGGCGGUCUCCUCCCAAAGAGUAACGGAGGAGCACGAAGGUUAGCUAAUCACGGUCGGACAUCGUGAGGUUAGUGCAAAGGCAUAAGCUAGCUUGACUGCGAGAGUGACGGCUCGAGCAGGUACGAAAGUAGGUCUUAGUGAUCCGGUGGUUCUGAAUGGAAGGGCCAUCGCUCAACGGAUAAAAGGUACUCCGGGGAUAACAGGCUGAUACCGCCCAAGAGUUCAUAUCGACGGCGGUGUUUGGCACCUCGAUGUCGGCUCAUCACAUCCUGGGGCUGAAGUAGGUCCCAAGGGUAUGGCUGUUCGCCAUUUAAAGUGGUACGCGAGCUGGGUUUAGAACGUCGUGAGACAGUUCGGUCCCUAUCUGCCGUGGGCGUUGGAAGAUUGAGAGGGGCUGCUCCUAGUAC
rnacentral:rRNA from 1 species